rnacentral:rRNA from 1 species
UGAUUGAACGCUGGCGGCAGGCCUAACACAUGCAAGUCGAGCGGCAGCGGGAAAGUAGCUUGCUACUUUUGCCGGCGAGCGGCGGACGGGUGAGUAAUGCCUGGGGAUCUGCCCAGUCGAGGGGGAUAACUACUGGAAACGGUAGCUAAUACCGCAUACGCCCUACGGGGGAAAGCAGGGGACCUUCGGGCCUUGCGCGAUUGGAUGAACCCAGGUGGGAUUAGCUAGUUGGUGAGGUAAYGGCUCACCAAGGCGACGAUCCCUAGCUGGUCUGAGAGGAUGAUCAGCCACACUGGAACUGAGACACGGUCCAGACUCCUACGGGAGGCAGCAGUGGGGAAUAUUGCACAAUGGGGGAAACCCUGAUGCAGCCAUGCCGCGUGUGUGAAGAAGGCCUUCGGGUUGUAAAGCACUUUCAGCGAGGAGGAAAGGUUGGUAGCUAAUAACUGCCAGCUGUGACGUACUCGCAGAAGAGACGACG